rnacentral:lncRNA from 1 species
AGGGCUGGCGCCACCUCCAACAUUCCUGCACACAGUUCUUGAUUCACAGACGUCUGUGUUUCUGCCGGGCGUACACCUCGGAGAGGAAGCACAAAGACCCGCUGAGCGCUGGCUGCAGCAGGAUUUGACCUGCGUGUCUCUAGAUCCCGAAGAAUGUUCUCUGAUGCAGACCAAGGUCAGGUAUGGUAAACAAAGUGGCUGCCAGCACGAAAUAGACUCCCAGCAGGUGUGGCUGCUGAAAUUUUCCAUUUUUCAGAGCGACUGCAGGCUUGGAGAAUUUUAGGGCACUUUGUCACGGAAGGUCGUGUCCCGGCAGCCGUCCAGCCAUCUGAAGCUGUGUGGUCGUCUGCAAACAGCAGCCCUGGGCUUUAGAGCCGAGGUUCAGGAGGAAGAUAACCCCUAUCAGGCAGCAGCAGAGAUGGGAGGAGUGAUGUGUAAAGUACACAAUUGGCGGUCCGUGUCCAGCGCACUGGAAGAGCUCCAUAAACACAGGCUUUUUGUCAGCUCGGCCGCCUCUAUCCAGCUGUCCGGUCAUCACCGCCACCCUGACACUAACAGGCAACUCAGGCUGGCAUGGUCAAGGCUGACUUCCUGAUCUUCCCUCCCGCUCUUGCCCACCCCAACACCUGGGCAAGACACUCCUGUCCUUCUAGGAGCUGAAGUCAAAAAUCUUGGCAUCAUCCUGGACUCCUCUCUCCUGCAAGCCUCACAUCUGACUCACCUGCAAAUCCUUCUAGCUUUCCCUUUAAAAUAUACCCAGAGUCCAGCCCUGUCUCACCGCCUCCACCGCUACCUGGUCCUGGCCAACGCCGUCCUCCCCUGCUGCUCCAGCAGCCUCCCCACUGGGCUCUCUGCUUCCCCUCUCACGCCGACUGUCUUCUGCUGUCGCCAGAGCACCUCAGGAUCCGUCAUGAAACUCCAUUCAAGGCUCCCGUGUGGCCACAUCUCACCCAGAGCAAAUGCCAGCGUCUAAUCACAGGCCCCUGAGAUGGUCCCCACCGCACCAGCAGGGGCAGGGGAAGCAGAAGAUGUGGCAAAGUGCUCGAGAAAAGCAUCGGAGGAAAAGAUGGUCCCUUUGGUUAUAUAGGAAGAUAUCAUUACAGAAAUAAAUAGAUUUUAUGGUUUUUGCUGGAUAGCACAUGAUUGGUCCAAAGUGGACCAAGUAAUGCUGAGGAAGACUUUUUGGAAGAGACGCGAGACAUUCUCAACCUCCCUUCCAAAAUAACACCUAGAUAAGGCUGGAAACGCAAACUAGGCCCUUCUGAGUGAAGAGGCAGGACCAAGCACGGCGCUGGACCCCAGGCCCUCGUGAGGCCCGGCUAAAACCACCGUGAUGGGAUUUUUAAGAUACAAACCUAAAGAGAAAAUGAGAAAGGUGAAGAUAACGAAACUCUGGGAGCCGGAAAGCUUAUGAACAAGAAGCAACUGACUGAGCGGCCGAAGAGCUGAGUUCCAUGCUCACGGCAGGAAAACCCAUGAACCUAUGAACUGGAUUUAUUUAGCAGAACGCUCAGAAAAAUGCAGGAGCCUGUGGCACCAGGUCCUUCUGGAACUGAGAGCGAAGCCGCAGGGAGGGAGAGCGUCAAAUAAGGGAGGCUGGCUGACACUGUUCAGCAGCAGUUAGAUGCUGGGACCCCCACCCCCACUCUGCAUGGUGGGGUGCCUGUCUCUCUCCCACUCUGGCAGAAGACCGACAACUGGCUUUCCAGAGAGGAUAAACCUAGGGACUCUGGACUGUGUGACAUCAGAUGCAGUUGGGACCCAGGGUAUCAAACUGGAGAUGGGGGAUUCAGUGACUGUGGACGUACUGGAUGCUGAGACCCCCUCUCCCAUCCCUCCUACCCUACUGGGCUCCCAGAAUGCUGGCAGCCAGGCCGCUGCGCUCUAGAAAGGAGGCUGGAACAAUCUGCUCCAGUGCAUCUGACAAGCCCAGGUGGAAAGACCUGGAGAGACUGACACAGGGGCUCCCCCAAAAUUGGCACAGCAUAGCACCCCACAGUAAAGCUCACAGGCAAGAAGAUCUGCCUGUUCAGACACCGUGGAUAAGCAGACAUGUGAGGAGAGCCUCUACGAGGCAGAGAACAAAACGAAGAAAAGCGACUUGGAGGAAGAAAACAUUAAGCAAGGAGAAGAAAAUUUCCAAAAAUCAUUAUUGAUAACUUUUGAGAGAUAAGAAAAGAUGUUAAAUCCAUGAAACAAGAACAGAAGUUUAUAAAUAAGAACACUUAUAGAGCAAAAAGUAUUUCUUGCAAAUUAAAAAUGUGAAAAUAGAAAUUAAAAACUUUGUAAAAGAUUGGAAGAUGGAAUUGAGGAAAAUUUUGAAAAGUCAGUCAGAAAGACAAAGAGAUAGGAAACAGAAAAGAAAGAGAAAAUAAUUAGAAGACUAGUCCAAGAAGUCUAACAUGCAAAUAAGAAGAGUACCACAAAGCAACAAUAGUGAAAACAGAGAGGAGGAGAUAUUCGUCAACAAAGCAACACAAGGAUAUUUCCCAAACUGGAAUAGCACGAAUCUCCAGACAGAAAGGGAACUUCAAGUUUGCAGCAUAAUGGAAAAAAUAUACUCACACCAAGGCCACUGUUAUGAAAUUUCCAGAACACUGGGAAUAAAGAAAAUCUAGCACGCUUCUGAAGGGUAGAAAGAAACAGGUAUGUGCAACAGAUAAGGAAUUAGAAUAAAUUUGGAAUUCUUACUAGCAAACAGAAAGAAAAACAAGCAAAAAAACAAUGGGGAGUGGCUUCAAAAUUCUAUAGGAAAAUUAUUUCCAACCUAGAAUUCUAUAGCCAGCCCGAUUAUCACUCAUAUGUAAGAAUAGAAUAAAAAUAAUUCAGACACACAAAUUCUCAACAAACAUUUAACUUCCACAUGCUUUUUCCCAGGAACUCAUUGGAGGGUAUUCUACCAAAUGAAGGAGUAAGCUAGGGAGAAACAAGACACGCCACACGUGUGAGCUCCCUGGGGCUGCUGUAACAAUAUGCCUCAAACUGGGGGUCUGAAACAACGGAGGUUUACAGUGUCAUGUCCUAGAGGCUAGAAAUCUGGAAUCAUGGUGUCAGCUGGGCCACACUUUCUCUGAAACCUCAAGGGGAAGGUAGGUCCUUUCUUGCCUCUUCCAGCUUCUGUAGCAGCAGAACUCCAGUCUCUGCCUCCGUCUUCACUCAGUCUCCCCUCUGGGCAUGUCUGUCUCUGCGUCUCAUCUCCUCUUCUUAUAAGGACAUCAGUCGUACUGGGUUAAGGGCCCACCCUACUCCAAUAGGACCUCAUCUUAACUAAUUGCGUCUGCAGUGAGCCUAUUUCCAAAUAAUGUCACAUUCUAACGUUCUGGAAAAGACAUGAAUUUGGCAGGGGACAAUAUUUAACCCAGUACAACAUACAGAAACAGGAGGUGAGAGGAAUUCUCUGGAUGCUGGUGAAGGGCUGGCCCAGGCCGACAGCUGUGUACCAGGGCAGAGGGCAACCGGCACAGACUGGGCAGGCCAGACACUCGAAGAUUUUGUCAGGAAGGUGAAACUGAGAUUUACGGAUUGAAUUAAUGAUAAAUACACAGAAAACUGAGCAAACAAACAACAGCAACAAUAAAAAGGCAAUUGUUAAUUCCAGGAAAAACAAAAGAUUAGUUCCUAGCCACAGCUCUGCAAGGCAUACAUAAAUGUACAUAAGAAACAAUGAAUGCUUAUCAAGCCAAAAUUACAGGACAAAUCUAUGGGGAGGGCGGGGGAUGGGAAGUGGUGGAAGUGGAGGGAGGAAAGAGUGAUAAGUCCUUAUCUUCCACGGUUAAGGGAGAAGGCCAAAACCUGAAAAAGCCAGUUAGCAAUUCAAGUAUAUGGAGACAUGUGCAGUACAUAUUAAAAGAGUCAAAAACAUUGCGCCUGGAGAAGAGGAAAUGGGAGGGGAGGGGAAUGAGGAAUGUUGUUUGUCUUAAAGCUUGUACAACUAGUUGAACUGUACAUAUGCAUAACCUCAACUAGAGAAAUAAAAUCCAAACAAGAGAGAGAGGCACAAAUUGGGCCAAAUCAUCAACAGCCUGGUGCAAGGUGCACUACACCAUAAGCACACUUUAUAAUUCACAUAUUUUAUGAUGAAAUUCUAGAGUCAGCUUCGACCAAGGGCAAUUCUGCCUCCCCUCACCCUACCCAGGGGACAUUUGACCAUGUCCAGAAGCAUUUUCGGUUGUCACAGCCCUGGGGGUCUGGUGGCCAGAGACCAGGGACACUGCUGAGUAUCCUUCAGCACACAGAGCGUAGCACUCACAACAAAGAAUUUGCUCAACAACUAACAAAAAAGAAAGAUCUGGCCCAAAAUGUCAAUAACGGCAAGGUUGAGAAACCCUUGCUCAACAGAUGGCUGGGAAGAGAAAACCCAAUGGAGAGGCCUGGGAAACCGGUCUCUCCACACUCACACGACACUCUGACACCAGAUGGCUGCGUUUUCCCACACUGACCCCUUCUCUGAUUCUCUGUGGACCUAACUGGAUGCCCCACAACUCAGUUUACUUCUGACAGUCUAUCUCCAAUCCGUCUACUUGGAGUUAGCGUCACAUCCCACGAGGUAGGGGCUCAGGCCCACAAGACUGCCCCCACUCUAGCUGCUAGCCGCAGGUCCCAGGCCUCCUGUAUUUAUACCAACCGACUGGCUAUAAAUCAGGGGUUCCCACGACCCCCUGCUCAGGUUCAAUAAUUUGCUGGAACAGCUCAUAGAACUCAGGAAGGCACCUUACUCACAUUUACCAGUUUGUUCUAAAGGAUACCGCUCAGGAAGAGCAGAGGGCAAGGCGAGGGGCAGGGCUGGCGUGUGCUUCCGCGCCCUCUCCGGGUGCCCCGCCCUCCCGCACCUUGACGCGGUCACCAACGCGAGGCUCCGAACCCCAUCCUUUUCAGUUUUCGGAGGCUGUGUUCCAUAGGCAUGAUUGACUAACUCAUCCUCCAAUCCCUCUUCCCCACCAGGAGGUCAAGGGCCGGGGUUGAAAGUUCCAACCCUCUAAGCACUGGCCGGCUCCCCUUGCAACCGGCCUGCCCCCGCCCCCCUCCCCCAUCUUCGGGGCUUCCCAAAAGUCACCUCAGGAACAGAAACUCGGGUGUGGUUGAAAGGGACUUGUUAUGAAUAACAAAAGACACUCCCUCCACCUUUAAGGCUCUCAUCAUUAAGGAAAUUCCAAGGGUUUUAGGAGCUCUGUGCCAGGAACAGGGAUGAAGCCCAGAUGUCUAUUUCUUAUUAUAAGUCACGAUGCCACAGGAAGCUGUUGAGAUCCUCGAGGUAGGAAAUCACAAAAGGCUGAAUUCCGAGAGCUCUCGGGUGGACUCCACGGGCCUGGAAACCCGAUGCAGGGGCAGACGGUGGAAGCAAGGCCGAGUUUUCCCACUUGGGUAUUGAGGUGGAUGUUGAUGCCAUGAACCAAAGCCAGGGAAAGGGUGUCGGCGGAGGAGAGAACAAUUUAGUGGGUGAAGUUUAGUCUGAGUCGCUUAGAGGCGACGGGAGGUCAAGGUGAAGAGGCUUAGUCGGGUGGGUUCUGGGGUUCAAGACGGAGGUCUGGAGGGUGGACACAUAUGUGGCAGUCACCGCAUUUAGAAGUAGGGUUUCCUGAG